CAUGUGUGUGCCUCCCUGGCUCUCCUUCGCUCUGUGGGACGACAGAACCAUCUGCUGCAGAAUCCCAGGGGAAAAGCAGCAUCUCCGAGGAUGAGCUGAUCACCGCCAUCAAAGAAGCAAAGGGAUUAUCGUAUGAAACCACCGAGAGCCCACGGCCGGUGGGUCAGCUGGCCGACAGGCCCGAGGUCAAGGCCAGGUCCGGACCGCCAACCAUCCCCAGCCCCCUGGACCACGAGGCCAGCAGCGCGGAGUCGGGGGACUCAGAGAUCGAGCUGGUGUCCGAGGACCCCAUGGCCGCGGAGGACGCGCUGCCCUCAGGCUAUGUGAGCUUUGGCCACGUGGGCGGCCCGCCGCCCUCGCCCGCCUCGCCAUCCAUCCAGUACAGCAUCCUGAGGGAGGAGCGCGAGGCCGAGCUGGACAGCGAGCUCAUCAUCGAGUCGUGCGACGCCUCCUCGGCCUCGGAGGAGAGCCCCAAGCGGGAGCAGGACUCACCCCCGAUGAAGCCCGGCGCCCUGGACGCCAUCCGGGAGGAGACGGGCGUCCGGGCCGAGGAGCGUGCGCCAAGCCGGCGGGGCCUGGCCGAGCCGGGUUCCUUCCUCGACUACCCCUCAGCUGAGCCCCAGCCUGGCCCCGAGCUGCCCCCUGGAGACGGAGCCCUGGAGCCUGAGACGCCCACGUUGCCACGGAAGCCUGAGGAAGACGCGAGUUCCAACCAAAGUCCUGCGGCCACAAAGGGCCCGGGGCCUCUAGGUCCUGGCGCCCCGCCCCCACUGCUGUUUCUCAAUAAGCAAAAAGCUAUUGACCUGCUGUAUUGGCGGGACAUCAAGCAGACGGGCAUCGUGUUUGGGAGUUUCCUGCUGCUGCUCUUCUCCCUGACCCAGUUCAGCGUGGUGAGCGUUGUGGCCUACCUGGCCCUGGCCGCACUCUCAGCCACCAUCAGUUUCCGCAUCUACAAGUCUGUUUUACAAGCUGUGCAGAAAACCGACGAGGGCCACCCUUUCAAGGCCUACUUGGAGCUUGAGAUCACCCUUUCUCAGGAGCAGAUUCAGAAGUACACGGACUGCCUGCAGUUCUACGUGAACAGCACACUUAAGGAACUGAGGAGGCUCUUCCUUGUCCAGGACCUGGUGGAUUCCUUAAAAUUUGCAGUCCUGAUGUGGCUCCUGACCUACGUUGGCGCUCUGUUCAAUGGCCUGACCCUGCUGCUCAUGGCUGUGGUUUCAAUGUUUACUCUACCUGUAGUGUAUGUUAAGCACCAGGCACAGAUUGACCAAUAUCUGGGACUUGUGAGGACUCACAUAAAUGCUGUUGUGGCAAAGAUUCAGGCUAAAAUCCCAGGCGCUAAGAGGCACGCUGAGUAAACUGAUUUCCCACCGGGGACUGGACACAAACAGGAAUGUCUGGAGUGGUAACAGCUCUCUUCUUACUCGUUACUGCAAAUUGAUUGUUUUCCCCCUCUCCCUCCAGUACCAUAAUCUUAGAGACAAACCUUAAAACAGCUGUUUUUAGGCUGUUCCUUGUACUCUUAGGAUAUUUGAGUCACUUGUGUCAACCACUAAAGUAUAGAGAAAAGUGUAUUAGAUGUGGUUUUUAAUUUUGUGUUGCUAAAAAAAGUGCAUGAUGGUGAGAGCCCAAGUUAUCUUUCCCUCUUCGGUGUUCUUCUCUUCUCUGCAAUGCUUCUGUAGCUUCUAACGUUCCCCGUGGCUAGGCCUUUCCUGCGGAGUGCUCUGAUGCAAUAGUGGAAAUCGCUUAUAUGUCCUUGGGUUGCUGGUUGGAUUAAUCUUUAAUAACAAUAUAUAGAAUUGUAGACUGAUGUUUUAGCAUUUUUCCAACACACACAACGUAAAAAUAAAAGCAGUCGACCGCACUUAUGGUAAUCAGUUUUGUAUAACUUAAAAUAAUUAAAUAAAUGAAUAAAUCCAAAACAAACAUGCAGUACUUUUGUUGUAUGGGAUUGGUGGGCUGAUUUACAUGUAUGGUUACUAAAAAGUACCAGCAUGUUAACUUUAUUACAAUUUGUAUUACUUUCUCUGUAGUUCCUAAUGGAUUCAAUUACGGACUCUGGAUAUUUGCACUUAUGUACUUGAUACUGAAUGCA
rnacentral:sRNA from 1 species